GGUUAUAGCUCAGUGGUAGAGUGCUUGCCUGGCAUGUGUGAGGCACUGGGUUCAAUCCUCAGCACCA
rnacentral:tRNA from 1 species